UGGGGGAUAUUGCACAAUGGGCGAAAGCCUGAUGCAGUGACGCCGCGUGGGGGAUGAAGGCCUUCGGGUUGUAAACUUCUUUUGCUCUGAACAAGGCAUGCCUUUGGGGUGUGUUGAGUGUAGGGGUUGAUUAGCGCCGGCUAACUACGUGCCAGCAGCCGCGGUAAUACGUAGGGCGCGAGCGUUGUCCGGAAUUAUUGGGCGUAAAGGGCUUGUAGGUGGCUGGUUGCGUCUGUCGUGAAAGCUCAUGGCUUAACUGUGGGUUUGCGGUGGGUACGGGCUGGCUUGAGUGCAGUAGGGGAGGCUGGAACUCCUGGUGUAGCGGUGGAAUGCGCAGAUAGCAGGAGGAAUACCGGUGGCGAAGGCGGGUCUCUGGGCUGUUACUGACGCUGAGGAGCGAAAGCGUGGGGAGCGAACAGG
rnacentral:rRNA from 1 species